rnacentral:lncRNA from 1 species
GAACCAAAUAUAGAAAUAGCAUCUAGAAAACCAAUACAAGUCUGUACCUAGCAUCUGGUGUCACAUUAAUACACGGACCGUCUAAGAUUUACUACAAAUAAGUGUUUGAAAUAAAUGACACAGUCUAUCUUGAAUACAAAUGUCAACAGAACAUGCAAACUGAAAGAAGAGACGUCGGGCCUACGGAUGCGAGCAAGGCUACCUCGGAGUCUCAUGGACUGAAGGUCGGCUCCUUGACUACUGGUGUGCACCGCAAGUAUCUACGACAUCUGGAUCUGUGCAAAAGAGCACUGGUAAGUGCCGGCCUAAUCCUCGAAAAGUAGUGACGAGGCUGACUAGAGUACCAUAUAAACCUGUGCAGUUAUAUAGGGGGAGCAUGCUAUGGGGAAAAUAACAAUUUCUAGUAAAAGUCGUACAGUAACGAAGGAAAAAACAAAAUGCACACAUUAAUAAAGAAACAGAAAGCAAUAAAUGUAUGGCAUCACCAUUCGUGCAUUUACUCUCAUCCUCACCAAGCAAUGAUAUAACAAAACGUGUACGACAUCACCCUUCAUGCUUUUACUCUCAUCCUCACCAAGCAAUGAUAUAAUAAAAUGUACACGACAUCACCCUUCAUGAUUUUACUCUCAUCCUCACAUAUAAUCAAUGGAAUCGGAACAUAAUGGUACAUCGUGCAUCACUACAUCACCUUUCGUGCUUUAACACUCUUUCCUCACAAUAGCAAACAUUACACGACAUCAACCUUCGUAUUUUAACACUCUUGCUCACCCAAAACGACAGUCACAAACAAGGGGCAAGGGAGUAAACAAAACAAUAAUAGAAAUCCGGGCAAGGGAACACAAUUAAGCAAUCAAAUCUCGGCAAGGGUACAACAUCAAUAAUCUCAACGUCCUGGCAAAGGAAAAUAAUCAAUGGGCAGUUCAUAUCCCCGAAAGGGAACAAUUUAAAUACUCUUUCUCUUUCUUUCACUUUUACUUUAUAUAUCACUUUACCACUUGAGCCAAUGCUCCAAAAGGUUCAAUUAUCUCAUAUAAUCUCACCAUUCGUAUCACAACUCGAGCCAAUGCUCCUCUAAGUUCAAAGAUCACAAUUUCUUUCACAUGUUCUUUAUAAUAUAUAGAAAUCAUCAUUAAGGCAUGAAAGGUACAACAAAAUUAGAAUAUUUGCAAUAUAAAGACUCACGGUCAUGCUAGACAUCAACAUAUAGAUACUCGUCACCAUGCCUACACGUUGAACUCGAUAAUUAGCAAGUAGCAAAUAAGACUCAACUCCUAUUCACUCAAGCUAAGGUUAGACCAAACACUUACCUCAAGCUUUCGUAGCCAAUUCAAUCCUAAAUAACUGACUUUCCUCUUGAAUUUGGAUCCAAAUUAAUCAAAUCUAUACAUAAACGACUUCAUAACAUCAAUACAUGCUAAACAAAUUGAAUCCAACCCCUAACUAUAGAUUUCCUAGCAUUUUCCAAAAAUCGACCAUGGGCCCGCUUGGUCAAAACACGAGGUUCGGACCAAAAUCCUAUCACCUAUUCACCCAUGAGCUCGAGUAUGUAAUUUUAUUUCAAAUUCAACCCAAAAACGAGGUCUAAAUCAAGACAAAUCAAAAAGCCCUAACUCUACCCAAAUCCCCAGUCUCAACCCUUAAUUGCAUGCUUUAGGCCUAGGAAUUUAGUAGAUGAUGAUGGAAAUAAAGGAAACGAGUUAAAAAUUGUGUACCCAAGAAACGUUGGUGAAGAAAUGCACCAAAAGUCGCCCUAGAACCUUGGAGAAGAAGGAGUUCGUGAAGUUUUAUGAAAAUCCCGUCACUGGUUCUGUUUUGAAAAAUUAAAAUAAAUGGUUGAAAUUACUCAUCACAUUUGCGACAGGCGGGUCACGUUCACGAUGAGUAACACUGGGCAGACCAUCGCGAGCGCGAAAAGGGGAACGCAAACAUGGAGAAUAAAAAGGCUAUGGCCCAGAAAUUGACCUACACGAACGCGAUGAAGGACUCCUACGAAGCUAUGCGAACGCGAUCAUAUACAUGUGAACGCGAAGAGGAAAAGAAAGCUAAACCCUCAUGUCAAAUAGCCCUACGCAAACGCGAGGGCAGGAUGCGAACGCGAAGAAAGAAAAUCUUGAAGCUUCGUGAACGGGGAAAUGGAUCGCGAACGCAAAGAAGAAAUGGGAUCUGCAAUAGCUGAGGCAAAAUCUGCUAUUUCCAUAAGUCGAGAACUACUCCGAAACACUCUAAAGCCCUCGGGGCUCCUAACCAAACACAUGCACUAACUCAACAACAUCGUACGAACUUAACCAUGCGAUUAAAUCACCAAAAUAACAUCAAAAUUAAUGAAUCAAACCUCAAAAUCAAGAGUUUUUCUUCAAACUUGAUUAAGUUUUAAAUUUAUUACUUUAAGCCUGAAACACGUCAAGCGGCGUCCGAUUUCAACCAAACUUUACAGAAACAUCUUAUAUCACAUAUAAUACCUGUACCGGGCACCAGAACCAAAAUACAAGCCAGAUACCAGCACGUUCUAAUCAAUUUUCAUUUCAUUUUUUCUUAACAAUUUUACAAAAUAAUUUCCUUUAAAAAUUUAUUUCUCGGGCUCGGGACCUGGGAAUUCAAUUCCGGGCAUAAGCCCAAGUCCCUUAUUUUCCGGACCCUUCGGAACCGUUCAGUCAUGAGUGCGAGUCCGUUUGUCCAAAAUAUUUACCAAAGUCAAAUUUAUUCAUUUUAAUACCAAAAGUUAACAUUUUUCACAGAAUCUCACAUUUAAGCUUUCUAGCUACGCGCCCGGACUGUGCAUGCAUAUCGAGAAGACUCUAAGUGAGGUUUUCGAGGCCUCAAAAGCACAGAAUGGAUAAGAAAACAGGUGAUGACCCUUUCGGUUGUCACAGGGAGCCACACUAAGGUAAUAUUAUGUCAUUGUAGUACUCAUAUCUGGUUGCACUAUUUUAAAGUGUACCAUCUAGGUGUCUCACAAGGAGAUUUACUAGCUCACUUGCCAUAUCCUUUGGAAAUGUCAACUAACACAAACAAUCCACUUACCAUUUUGGUAUUACUAUGACCUCUUCCAGGUCUUGAUGUUCCAUCAUUUUCUUAAACUACAUCGUUUAGCUCCCAUAGGGAAUAAUUUAGAUGGGUUCGACCAAUUGUACAUACCUCUAUUAUUGUUGAGGGUAAUUCUUAAUGCUUAUAUUUUUUUUCCAGAACUGUAAUGCUAAUAAUCUUCAUCAACUGGGCGCCUCGUACACUUCUUCAUCCUGCUUCUUUUGCUUGUUGAAACUUGUAUUUAUUGUUUGAAUCUCUCAUCUUCUUUCACCAUUAAGAUGGAUAGGUAUUCUUUCCUUAAGGAUUCUUAUUAGGAAGCUUAUACCUUUUAGUACACCCAAGAUCUGCAAUAGACCACACAUUUACUUAUAGCAGCCAUUAUACAAAAAUCCAAUUCCUCUGACUCAACUUUUUUACAAUCAUAUCUCUUUCCAACCUUCUUUCCGGAUGUAGAUAUCGUCUUAUUACAAAUAAAAUAGAAUUUCAAAAUUUGAAUUCUUAUAAAUGAGCUCUACCAAACGAUCUAGAAUAAGAUAAAAGAGUGGCAAUACUAUAUGACAUGUAGCCUCCUACUUAUAAGUGUGUUGCACGAUAUACCCAUAAAUAAAACUCCACUAGACACGGCUUGUCGACUCCCUAGGACAGACCUGCUCUGAUACCACUUUUGUCCUGCCCUGAACUUGGGAGAGAGACCGGCACCCGAUGCCUCACUAUCCUUGCAUACCAAAUUAUGACUAAGGGACUCUAAACAUGUGAUUUCAUACUUAGGCCAUGGUCCACAUUGCAAGAAAACUACGAAUACUGACUAAAUAUUAAUAUAAAGCUAGGCCGACAAGGCCGUCAUAAUUAUUGUAGCUGAUAAACCAAUGAAGUAUAUAUAUCUACAAUCCUCUACGAUGGAUAUACUAUGAUCGGAAUAGCUUCUCGACCUAUUCGUAACAUGUAUACAUAUAUACAAGAUGCACAUCAGGUUCUAGACUCGGAAACUCUGAAAGGCAUGGGCUUACCGAUCAAGCUGAACUCGGACAAUACUUAUUGAAGAGGACUACAUGUCUAUCUGUCUGACCUGCACACAUGAAAUGCAGUGCCCCCAGAAAAGGGACAUUAGUCUGAAAUAAUGUACUGAGUAUGUAAAGCAAUAUACUAAAAGCUGAAGCUAAAUUGAUAAUAUAGUAACUGCAAGUAGUUGAAUGUCAAAGAUAAUCUGAAGAUAUACAUACCUAGUGAUACUGACUAAACUCUCAUAAUAUAGUGAGUAAAAUAGUUGUCCGGCCCAAUAAGGCUCGGUAUACAUAUAUAUAUGCUCUGCCGUAGUAAGUUUGCUCAUAAGCGCUCGGCCAUACAAGGCUCUAUAUCUCGACCAACUGGGCUCGCUCAUAAGCGCUCGGCCACAUCAGGCUUGGUAUAUAGCUUACCAUCUGAUUAGAGGUUUCCCAAUAGGGGCCUGCCUAUCGAUUAUAGCUCGAUGGUAUUGAAAAUACUUUUAAUAUUGUAUAUAUCUAAAUUCUCCAUUAUAUUGACUUGAAGAAGGAAAUACUCAACCUAAUAAGAGUCACGAUAAAGAGAAUAAUACAACUUACAACAAAUAUAUGCAAUUUGCGAGACUAGCAAAAUAUAUGUAAUUUUUGGAAUAUGAAUAUAAUGAUGAGAUCAUGCCAAAUGAAAGAAGAGCUUAAAUUUAACAUACCUUUGUUGGAUUUCUUUAUUAACCACAAAGACAACCCUUCCUUCACACGUUAAUCUACGAGAUACAACAAUAACACAACAACAAUGGAUUAGAGGAAAGCUUGUAGAAGGUCGUUGAUGAUGGAGUGUUGUACUUUUGUUUCCCUCUUCUAAACUUCCUUCCCUUUUACAUUACUACGAGUUAACUUUGAUUCGCUAACAACUAUUGAUAAUCGGUAUUAGAAACGUAAAAUUUUCGGGAGAAUGAAAUAAAGAAAGCUUAAUCGUUUUUUAGCUUGAAUAGAAAACGUGUCUGUCCAUAAUAUCACAUUGUUCAUCUUGCCAUUGUACAUUAAUUUGCCGAUCCUUUAGCAACAGAUACUAUAGUAGCUUAGCAAUAAAGACCUUGUUCAACUUUUCCCCAAAACGAAUUAAUACAUUCCGCUUUGCCAAAAUUUUCCAUCUGUAUUGUUGUAUGUUUACAAACUCAUAAGCUUUUCACUUUGUCAAUUUAAAGAAGCCUUAAUAGAAUCUUUGAAUCUAAAAUAAGAUAAGGUGCACAUGGAUAGUGACACCUCCUCCUUAAGUAUAAGAUUAGUUGGCAAUUUGGUGUCAUAUCUUCAUAAUCCCAGGUGGAUUGUUGUCCCCCCUAAUAAUUAUCAAAAUCUCAAAUAAUUAUCCAUAACCUUUAAUUAAUUUGUUAAUCUCCCAUAAAUCAAUAAUUAAUCAAUUAACCAUAUAAUCAAGAAUUAUCUCAAAUUACUCAAAAUACUACUCAUUUUAAAUAUAUUUUGUAUACCUUAUUAUCAGACCGUAUUUUACCUCAAAAUGCUAAACUUUGACAAAAAUUAUUUUCUUUUAAUUGCUUUCCUUUCACCUUCACGAAUUUACUCAUUACUUGUGAAACAGCAUAAUACCUAUAAUCUCCAAAGAAUCUUUUACUUGGACUGAUGGCAAUUACCUUACGAAAAAUUCAAUGUACAAUACUACAGGGUGCAACAUAUAGUAACUUAAUACUGAGAAGCGUAAUAUCAUCGUAAUAUUGCGGGGUGUAAAAUGUUAGUCACCCUUCGAGGUCCACAAUGGUGAAUCCCUCAAAUUAGGUGAAUUAGUCUUAUAAGCAAACAAAUCAAUUUAGACAAGUAGAUAUUACGUUUAAAACAAGAGGUACAAGGGGUCCUAGAUUUUUUAGCCUAUAUGAUCACUUCUACGCAAUAAUUGGUAAUCGUUCCCAAGUUGGGGUGCUACAUAUAGCAUUAGCGCACAAGUCAUCAUAUCCUUUACUACCCAAUUAUCCUCCCCUUAGCGGUCAUAUAAGCGAUUCUAAUUAAAUGUACUCUAUGUGUGCAUUACUUAUUCCUUACUUAUGAUCCGGAAGGUAUUUAGAACUUCUAGUUAAGGUGGAUCUAGACUCUCCAAAAGUGCUUAAAAGGAGAAAAUAUAUGUGACAAGCAAAACAAUUAGGACUUGUUAGAUAAAGAAACAGUUAAAGGCCCAGAUUUACCUCCACAAAUAAGCAGGCAAUUGCACGUCUCAAACAACACUAUUUCAGACACUUUAAAAGUCUUAUAGCAGAAUAUUUAGGUGAGCACAAAACAGAACAUACAUAGUGUUUUUUAUUAAAGCAAGGCAGAAGAACCUAAUCAAUUUGACUAUUGAUUUUAGUACUUCUUGAAUCUGGGCAGUUCAUAAACAGUUAAACAAAGCACAGUUUUAUAUUUUCAAGAUUUUAGUUGUCCUGCAGACUUGUCUAGAUAUGGGUUAGAGAUAUCCUAUAAACAUGAUAUCUAAUCGUUAAUCAGAACCAUAAUAAACCAGUAAAAGAUUUUAAGGAGGCAGUUUAGUUCAUUAGGUCUUAUAGGCAUGUUGUUUAGGUGCUAAAAAAUAAUCACAAACGUUACCGAACUAGUUUUAUGUAUAAGCCUGAUAUCUAGGUAUUGGGACUACUUUUAUACUUAUUUCUUAUAGGCAUGAUUGCUACUGAAGAAACUGUUUUUAUACAAUUUUACAGCAUGUAUGAUAUCUAGAUGAGUGCAAUAAAAGUACUAGAACAUGAUUUCGAAUGCACAUAGGAGAAUUUAUGAAUAUGAUUGUUAAGGUUCAAUUAACAACAUACUGGAGAUAGGAUUUCUAGCAUGGAUUCAACAUGCAUAAAUAGAAAUUUACAGCAAAUAACAUGAUGAACCUAUAAGCAUAUUUUCUAAUGCACACAACAACCUUUAGACACGGUUUCUAAUGAAUGUAGAUAAUUAUAAUAGUCUUAUGAGCAUGAUUUCUACCCGAUUAUCCCAUCAUAUAUAUAUAUAUAUNNNNNNNNNNNNNNNNNNNNNNNNNNNNNNNNNNNNNNNNNNNNNNNNNNNNNNNNNNNNNNNNNNNNNNNNNNNNNNNNNNNNNNNNNNNNNNNNNNNNNNNNNNNNNNNNNNNNNNNNNNNNNNNNNNNNNNNNNNNNNNNNNNNNNNNNNNNNNNNNNNNNNNNNNNNNNNNNNNNNNNNNNNNNNNNNNNNNNNNNNNNNNNNNNNNNNNNNNNNNNNNNNNNNNNNNNNNNNNNNNNNNNNNNNNNNNNNNNNNNNNNNNNNNNNNNNNNNNNNNNNNNNNNNNNNNNNNNNNNNNNNNNNNNNNNNNNNNNNNNNNNNNNNNNNNNNNNNNNNNNNNNNNNNNNNNNNNNNNNNNNNNNNNNNNNNNNNNNNNNNNNNNNNNAUAUAUAUAUAUAUAUAUAUAUAUAUAUAUAUAUAUAUAUAUAUAUAUAUAUUUCCCUCACAUUUUACUAAUAUCCCCAUGUCAGUUUUACAAGAAUUGUUAUUACAGAUCAAAAAUGAAUGAAUGACAGAAAUGAGACUGCUAAAGUAUAGAGAGCUUGGAUAGGCCCUAAAGUAAAAUUGAAAAACCAGGCCUUCAACUAAGUAUGAAGUGGCCCAACAUCUCAUAGUAUCCAAGAGAGUAUCCUAGUGCGUCAAAGUUCUUAAGGGCCUCAAGGACCCCGGGCAGUGCUCACACCAAGACCUUUUUUAAAGAGAAAUAGUUUUUUUGCAAUGUGAAAGGGCUAGCCUCGGUAUGUUAGAGUUCGGAGGAGUCUCAUAGACUCUUAGGCAGUUCUCACACUGGAGGGGCAAAAUCCUAGAUAUUCUAAGAGUAGCAGUGGAAGAUAGUGCUUGAAAGAGUAGAAAUAGUUUUAAGAAAACAGUUCAGAAGUAAAAAUAGCUCAGAAGUGAAAACAGAUCAGAGGUGAAAACAGUUUAAAAGUGUUUUGAAAAUAAAGGUUUCAGUAGAUAAACAGAAACACAGUCACAAAGCAAAGAUUCAUAUUGCACAGAUUUAGAUUAGUUCAUUAGUUAACACUUGGUAGCCAUAUAGCAACCUGGGAAAAACUAUAUAGAUAAGAGAUAGCAGGGGUUAGGAACAUAGAAAUCCUCAACCAAGUACACAUGAAUCUAAUCAAAAAACAAAAGCAUGCUAAUUAACACCAAGCAAAUUGACAUAUUAUGACAGCCAAAUUCCAUAGCACUCAAGAGGACCUAGUGAUGCUAAUUAGAAGCAAUAGACAGUAAGCACAUAAGUUUAAAGAGUCAGAUUACAUAGCAUUAGAUAGAUUAGAAUGACUCAUGCUGACUUAAAACAAUAGACAAGAAUGACAUAGAACUUAAAUACAGGAGUAGAUAUGCUAGUUCAUAGAAAGGGGAGUGAUUUAAUUACAUAGAAGUGGUCAUACUAAUUGAGGCCAAUGGACAGUAAAGAUAAGAUUCUAAAUGCCUAAGUAAGCAUGCUGGUUUAAGGCAAUAAACAUGAAGGAUACAUGUUUAAGCAUAGAAGUAGACGUGCUAAUCGAAAUAUAGAAGAUACAUGGAUUCAACAGAAGUAAAGCAGCAGAUGAGAGAACACAUAGGUUCAAGAUUCAUAGUAUAAUGAACUGACAUACCAGUUAAAGAUGGUAAACAGAAGUUGAAAGAUAUGCAUAACUCAGUGGUCUAGCCUUGGCUUUCAGCCGGUUAGAUAGUGUAAUGAACACAAUUAACAGAGAGGUUUUGAGAGAAAAGUUUUAUGUGUUUUUUUAAACUAUGUUCUUGUCUUGAAGAAUUAGUAAUAAGAUCAUAUAUAGCACUUAGUGAGGUAAAACAAAUAAGGUAAAGAGGAAAUCAUAGUUCGUAAAACAAGGGUAAUCAAGUCAAAUCAAUCAGCCAAUUAGGGAAUCAAUUCCUAUAGAUAAAUCCAGAAAAGACCCCUUAAAUUGGGGAGGGUCAAUUAAUGGUACAGAACAAAGGCUCAAAAAGGCACAAAAUCAAACCCAUACCAUAUAGGAGUCAAUCAGAUCCCCAAACCAUAGUAAUAAUUUAACUAAGGCAAGUAUAACUAAUCAAGGUCACAAAUAAGGAAAUAGGUAAAAUCACAGAAAACACUGAUUUAUAUAAGAAAAUAUGAUUCGAAUCCCUAAUAAAAACAAUCAGUAUAUUGGGUUGAUAGAAAUAAACAAAUAACGGGAAGCAAAUUGAAAAAAUCAGUGCAAUAACAGAACAAAACUUAGGAUUUAAAGAAUGUACACAUAAUUAACCAAACGAGUAUAGAAUAAUCAGAUUAAACAUUUGAAAGUUUGAAAAAGAAAACCUUUUGAAGAAACUUGGGACAAAAACCCUGAUUUCAGAGAAGCACUGAAAUCGAGAUAGUAAUAGCAAAAGCAUAAGAAUUUUCUGGAAAAAUAUCAAAUAACACUUAAAACCUUUCAGAUCCACAAGGAUAUGGACAAACCCAAGUAGUUAUAAGACGAGGGUUUUUGAAAAUAGCAAAGAUGAAAGAAACUCGGUCCAAAAUCAUAGGUUCAAACCAAAAAUAGGCAAGAAACAUUACUCAUAAACGAGAAUGGCCAAAGACAGACCUCUGAGACAGAUUUCGACAGAUUUCGACAAAACCCAAUUGAAUCUCUUUGAGAUUCUCUCAUAAAUCAAUGAAGUCGAACUACUAGAAGAUGUAACAAGCCGUCAAGGGCCGGAAAAUACACAGAAACCCCAUGGACGGGGAGUUUUACAGAUGACAGUGGCUAGGUUUUAGGUGUUUGAGAGAGAAUGGAGAGGUUAGGGAAAGUGAUGACGGCAG